GGCUUAUUGGGGUAAUGGUAACCUUCCCGACUGUCUCUCGGGAGCUAUGAGUUCGAUUCUCGUAUAAGCCG
rnacentral:tRNA from 1 species